rnacentral:rRNA from 1 species
UACGUAGGGGGCAAGCGUUGUCCGGAUUUAUUGGGCGUAAAGAGCGUGUAGGCGGCCAGACAGGUCCGUUGUGAAAACUGGAGGCUUAACCUUCAGCUUGCAGUCGAUACGGGCAGACUAGAGUUCGGCAGGGGAGACUGGAAUUCCUGGUGUAGCGGUGAAAUGCGUAGAUAUCUGGAGGAACACCGGUGGCGAAGGCGGCAUCCUGGACCGGCAUUGACGCUGAGGCGCGAAAGCCAGGGGAGCAAACGGG